CUUGGUAUCCUCGUUAUAUUCACUAGGGAUCUCUUGGUAUCCCGAGGAUCUCUUGGUAUCCUCAUUAUCUUCACUAGGGAUCUCUUGGUAUCCUCAUUAUAUUCACUAGGUAUCCUUUGGUAUCACGAGGAUCUCGUGGUAUCCUCAAAUCUUACAAUCUAAUGUGACGGGGAUCUCUUGGUAUACUGCACCCUCGAUCUAAAACAUAUCAAGUACUGGGGGAUCUCUCGGGAGGCCAACCCGUGGUCCCAAUGAAAGCACACCAUAGCAACCCAAACAUUAGGAAAGAUACUAACUUAGGACAGAAAUAGAAA
rnacentral:lncRNA from 1 species